AGAGCAGAGGGCACCUUCACCACCCCAGCCAGGGCACGGGCAGCACGGAGGCCCCCAGGCCCUGCGCCCUCUCAGGGCAGCGGCUGGGCUAGGUGUCUGACCCUGGCCAUGCUGCAUCACCGGUUCCUGCCGCUCAGCCCAUCAAACCGUCACUGUCCAUUGUCGGCUGUGGAGGACUGUCCAGAGUGGGCUGAGCUGGCCAGGAAGGCUUCCUGGAAGAGGUGUUACCCGGAGCCUUGGAGGAUGAGAAGGAAGGAAGAGGGAAACACUUCUGGUCUCCUGGUACAUUUGAGAACCUGGUGAGGCCAUCUUUACUUUCCUCAUCUAGAUGAGAGGGUUAAG
ensembl:lncRNA